AAACUUAUAACAUUCGUCCAGUUGACAACUUGAAGGAGCCCACUUUUGCUUUUUUUUCUGGUUGUUGAUUACAGAAGUCGUAAAAGAAGGUUCAUCUUCAGUUCUUGUUCAAAUCACGAUCAUCCGUCGUCUUUCUUUCUCCAUCGCUACAAGGGUUUGCUAUUGGACAAUCUUUGAGGAGGAGCUAGAUUAAGAGGCUUUUGUGAAGAUGUGGGCAGCUUCUUGCCUUGCGUCAUGCUGCGCGGCGUGCGCUUGUGACGCUUGCCGUACGGUAGUGUCAGGGAUCAGCCGUCGUUCCGCCAGGAUUGCCUAUUGUGGUCUUUUUGCUUUGUCACUCAUUGUCUCGUGGAUUCUUAGAGAGGUUGCUGCUCCUUUACUGGAGAAAAUACCAUGGAUUAAUAGCUUUCAUUCGACACCGAACAGAGAGUGGUUUGAGACAGAUGCUGUGCUUCGG